AAAAAAGGGGGAAAAAAAUACAUUGAAGGGAUGAGGAGAUCGGGUGAGAGGGGUAGGGGAGAGUUGCAACGAAGAAAUUAUCCUUGGGUAAAUUUUCGGAGUGCAAGCCAGCUAGCACGUCAAAUCCCCUUCCCUUCUUUGAUUAGGCUUUAUAGUGUUAUUUUCUUUCGCCUGGAAACAGAAAACCCAACGGAAAGAGAGGAAGAGCCAUGGCUAUCCCUCACCAAAUUAGUUUAUUUUUUUUGGAACUACAGAAAAUCUGACCCUCCUCCAUCUCUUUGGAAUGCCAAAUGACCCCUUCAACUCUUAGUUUUUAGUAAGAAAUCAAAGAAGAGAAAGAUUGAAGGAUUCGAGACUCGGAGCUUCUUGCCAUUGAUUUAGUAAAUCAGCAUCUACAUUUAGAUGUGCAAAGGCUGCAAUAAAGGUCACCAGGACCUUAAACUUCUUUCUCCAUCUCUAAAUGGUUGAUUUUGAUAUUGAUGAGUGGAGGACACGCACAGCAAUGCUGGGUAACUGCUCACAAGCCAUUUAUGAAAUUCUGAUUUAUUUGAAUUUAUUUGUUUUAAUCAUAUUAGAUUCCAAAUUGAUGUUGGCCAUGCUAGUUAAUUCUUAGUCCUUGGAUGACACUGUAUUGGGUUUGGUUAAUCACGGUUAAUGAAUAUAUCCUAAUAUGUUAUUGCCAAUUGAUUAUUCUACUCUUAACACCAAAAUAUGUAAUCUUACUUCAGGAAAAAGGUAAUAUAUAUAUAUAUUAUCAUCAAGAUGACAAAUUUUAAGAUUUGCAUGGGACCUUGAAUUGUAAAAGCAAAUGCCAUUAAAGUGAGCACUUCUUUGUUUAACCUUGGGUAAACGACCAUAGAGUAUAUUCUAUACUAGACUAAAUUCUAUCUGUUGCAAAGUUUUUUACUUCUUCAUUAUCUAUUGAAAGGGCUUUAUUUCAAACUAAUGCUAUAUUGUCUUGUAGAAAAAUUACUUAUGUUUAUAUUGAAGUAGCAAGAAACAAAUUGAAUGAAUAAAUAAGUGUAGAGAGCCACUAUUUCAUCAGAUAUUCUCUUGUUGCUUGUGCUAUAUUGUUAAGUAUUAUUGUAAAAGGAUCCUAAUAAGUGUCACAUAAAUUGAAAUUUUAAGAAUGGUCUGUUUUUAAUUGAAAGAAACAAAAUGAAUGAGAACAAAACACAUCAUAAUUGUCAUUCUAUAAAUCAUGACUAAAAGGUAUUUUUCAUUAUGUAUUGAGAGGUGUAUAGUUCCAUUACAUUGGGCUGUAUACAUUAUAUUCACAGCAGAGAUUAUUAUCAUGACAGGUUUCUUUUAAUGAUAUUCUCUUAGCAUUCAGUUUCUGCUUCUGCCAAAGUAGCUCUUUAUGCUUGAUUGGGAGUUUUGGAGUCCAUCCACUCUAUAUAAUUGUUUUUUUUCUAGUGUGGGGGUUAAAUAUAAAUACUUUUUUAUAAACUUGCUGGUGCUGCCAUUUAUUGAUUAAAGUUAUUGGUUUAUUACAAUGUUACAAGUGGAAUUGAAAUUAUAAAUGAUUGUGAUAUAGUUAUAUUUGAUCAUGUGGAUGAUUUAGUUUGGACUCUAAAUAAUUGUUGAAUGGAAAUGGAAAUGAUUUAAUGACUUUAUUUCUAUUCACAUCCACAUUUAUGAAAUUUGAAAUUAUGAUUUCAAAGGAGAGGAAAUGUGAUAGUGGAAGUUUGAAUCGAAUAUUAACAAAUUAUGUAAUUGUGGAUAUUUAUGAUAUCUAGAGUCAUGUUUUCUUAAAUUAUUUUGAAAGAAAGAUAGGUUUGAAUUGAUAUUGAAAUACUGUCAAUUAUUAUUAUUAUUAUU
rnacentral:misc_RNA from 1 species